UACGGGGGGAGCAAGCGUUGUUCGGAUUUACUGGGCGUAAAGGGCGCGUAGGCGGCCAGCACAAGUCAGUGGUGAAAUCUCCGAGCUUAACUCGGAAAGGUCAACUGAUACUGUGCGGCUAGAGUGCGGAAGGGGCAACUGGAAUUCUUGGUGUAGCGGUGAAAUGCGCAGAUAUCUGGAGGAACACCGGUGGCGAAGGCGGGUCUCUGGGCCGAUACUGACGCUGAGGAGCGAAAGCGUGGGGAGCAAACAGG
rnacentral:rRNA from 1 species